rnacentral:rRNA from 1 species
GACGAACGCUGGCGGCGUGCUUAACGCAUGCAAGUCGAACGAUGAAGCUGGAGCUUGCUCCAGUGGAUUAGUGGCGAACGGGUGAGUAACACGUGAGCAAUCUGCCCUUGACUCUGGGAUAACUGCGGGAAACUGUAGCUAAUACCGGAUACGACACCUUGGGGCAUCCCGGGGUGUGGAAAGAAUUUCGGUCAAGGAUGAGCACGCGGCCUAUCAGCUUGUUGGUGAGGUAAAGGCUCACCAAGGCGACGACGGGUAGCCGGCCUGAGAGGGUGACCGGCCACACUGGAACUGAGACACGGUCCAGACUCCUACGGGAGGCAGCAGUGGGGAAUAUUGCACAAUGGGCGAAAGCCUGAUGCAGCAACGCCGCGUGAGGGAUGACGGCCUUCGGGUUGUAAACCUCUUUUAGCAGGGAAGAAGCGAAAGUGACGGUACCUGCAGAAAAAGCACCGGCUAACUACGUGCCAGCAGCCGCGGUAA